rnacentral:rRNA from 1 species
UGAGCAAUCUGCCCUUCUCUUUGGAAUAAGCGUUGGAAACGACGUCUAAUGCCGAAUACGACCUCCUUUCGCAUGAUCGGAGGUGGAAAGCUCCGGCGGAGAAGGAUGAGCUCGCGGCCUAUCAGCUAGUUGGUGUGGGUAAUGGCCCACCAAGGCGACGACGGGUAGCCGGCCUGAGAGGGUGACCGGCCACACUGGGACUGAGACACGGCCCAGACCUCCUACGGGAGGNAGCG